AUGACUGAGGGGAGCCAGGGACGCGUCUAGACCGAACUGCGGCAGUCCUUUGGGGCUCGAGCGUCAAUGAAAAUCCCAACUCAGAGAUGAGAUGAGAUGAGCUCACAUUCAAGCGAUUGCAACCUGAACAACGGAAUGACGUCCAUAAAUAUAAGACUUUCACUGAAUGGAAUCAGCCAAGGAUUGCAACAGUGCUGAUAGCGAGCCACAAGCACUCGUCCAAAAGAUCAUCAAUUAUGUUGGAGAACGGUCUUGGAUGGGACUUGUUUUCAUCAAUGGGCCAAAAAUGCCGCUCCACAUUUCCUUUCUUAGGUGUAGCAAUAGCACACUAGCAGAUGAGGCAAAGACAUUUCGAAAGCAACAUCGUGCAGAAAAAAA